rnacentral:rRNA from 1 species
AUUGAACGCUGGCGGCAUGCCUUACACAUGCAAGUCGAGGGGUAACGAGAGGGAAGCUUGCUUUCCUUGUCGACGACCGGCGCACGGGUGAGUAACGCGUAUCCAACCUGCCCCCAACUAGGGAAUAACCUUGCGAAAGUAAGACUAAUACCCUAUAAUUUCCUCAGAUGUCAUCUGACGAGGAAUAAAGAUUUAUCGGUUGUGGAUGGGGAUGCGUCUGAUUAGCUUGUUGGCGGGGUAACGGCCCACCAAGGCAACGAUCAGUAGGGGUUCUGAGAGGAAGGUCCCCCACAUUGGAACUGAGACACGGUCCAAACUCCUACGGGAGGCAGCAGUGAGGAAUAUUGGUCAAUGGGCGGAAGCCUGAACCAGCCAAGUAGCGUGCAGGAUGACGGCCCUAUGGGUUGUAAACUGCUUUUAUACAGGAAUAAAGUUAGCCACGUGUGGUUAUUUGUAGGUACUGUAUGAAUAAGGACCGGCUAAUUCCGUGCCAGCCGCCGCCGUAA